rnacentral:rRNA from 1 species
AUUGGACGCUGGCGGCAGGCCUAACACAUGCAAGUCGUGCGGUUGAGGUAGCUUGCUACCGAUGCAGCGGCGGACGGGUGAGUAAUACAUGGGAAUCUGCCUGGUAGUGGGGGACAACGUUUCGAAAGGAACGCUAAUACCGCAUACGCCCUACGGGGGAAGGGGGGGGAUCUUCGGACCUCUCGCUAUCAGAUGAGCCCAUGUCGGAUUAGCUUGGUGUUGAGGUAAAGGCUCACCAAGGCGACGAUCCGUAACUGGUCUGAGAGGAUGAUCAGUCACACUGGAACUGAGACACGGUCCAGACUCCUACGGGAGGCAGCAGUGGGGAAUAUUGGACAAUGGGCGCAAGCCUGAUCCAGCCAUGCCGCGUGUGUGAAGAAGGCCUUAGGGUUGUAAAGCACUUUCAGUGGGGAGAAAGGUUAUUCACCUAAUACGUGAGUAAAUUGAUGUUACCCACAGAAGAAGCACCGGCUAACUCCGUGCCAGCCGCCGCGGUAA